rnacentral:rRNA from 1 species
CCUACGGGAGGCAGCAGUGGGGAAUUUUAGACAAUGGGGGCAACCCUGAUCCAGCCAUGCCGCGUGCGGGAAGAAGGCCUUCGGGUUGUAAACCGCUUUUGUCAGGGAAGAAAUCCCUUGAGCUAAUACCUCGGGGGGAUGACGGUACCUGAAGAAUAAGCACCGGCUAACUUCGUGCCAGCAGCCGCGGUAAU